AAACCCUAAAUCUCUACUCCUCCACCACACUUCCAUUUCAAACCCUUAAAUCAUAUUCUCACUCUCUCUCACUCUCUCCUCCAAUUUCUCUCUCUACAACCCACAACGGCCAUGGCUCUUCUCUCACCCAAUUCAUCGAUCCAGAGCUGCCAUGGAGACUAGCAAAAGGCGAGAGCUGGUUUUCAGAGACUUCCAUUACCUUUUACCCGUUCCGAACUCACUCAACACUCAUCACGAUGGAUCGGUAUCAGAGGGUAGAGAAACCGUGGCCAAAGACGCCGAUUAAGAAUGAGAUUCGUAUAACCACUUAGGGAAGGAUGAGGAACUACAUUAUUUAUGCUACCACUCUGUUUAAGGGAGUUUGAUCAUAAACAAAAGGCAAGGUCCCUUUUAGGAAACCGCAUUAAUGGUUCAAUUCCAAAGGAAAUCAAAUCAGAGACAUUGCUACUCUUGAGGAGCUGGUCUUGGAAGAUAAUCAGCUUGGAGGACCUCUUCAUCAAAACCUUGGAAAUUUGAGCUGCAUGAGGAGGCUCUUUCUUUCUGCCAACAAUUUUACUGGAACAAUUCCAGACACAUUUAGCAAAUUGAAGAACUUGACAGAUUUGUAAGUGGUAAUU